GGGCGCACGGUGGAUGCCUUGACACUAGGAGUCGAUGAAGGACGGGACUAACGCCGAUAUGCUUCGGGGAGCUGUAAGUAAGCUUUGAUCCGAAGAUUUCCGAAUGGGGAAACCCACUAUACGUAAUGGUAUGGUAUCCUUAUCUGAAUACAUAGGGUAAGGAAGACAGACCCAGGGAACUGAAACAUCUAAGUACCUGGAGGAAGAGAAAGCAAAUGCGAUUUCCUGAGUAGCGGCGAGCGAAACGGAACAUAGCCCAAACCAAGAGGCUUGCCUCUUGGGGUUGUAGGACAUUCUAUACGGAGUUACAAAGGAACGAGGUAGACGAAGCGACCUGGAAAGGUCCGUCGUAGAGGGUAACAACCCCGUAGUCGAAACUUCGUUCUCUCUUGAAUGUAUCCUGAGUACGGCGGAACACGUGAAAUUCCGUCGGAAUCUGGGAGGACCAUCUCCCAAGGCUAAAUACUCCCUAGUGAUCGAUAGUGAACCAGUACCGUGAGGGAAAGGUGAAAAGCACCCCGGAAGGGGAGUGAAAGAGAUCCUGAAACCGUGUGCCUACAAAUAGUCAGAGCCCGUUAACGGGUGAUGGCGUGCCUUUUGUAGAAUGAACCGGCGAGUUACGAUCCCGUGCGAGGUUAAGCUGAAGAGGCGGAGCCGCAGCGAAAGCGAGUCUGAAUAGGGCGUUUAGUACGUGGUCGUAGACCCGAAACCAGGUGAUCUACCCAUGUCCAGGGUGAAGUUCAGGUAACACUGAAUGGAGGCCCGAACCCACGCACGUUGAAAAGUGCGGGGAUGAGGUGUGGGUAGCGGAGAAAUUCCAAUCGAACCUGGAGAUAGCUGGUUCUCCCCGAAAUAGCUUUAGGGCUAGCCUUAAGUGUAAGAGUCUUGGAGGUAGAGCACUGAUUGGACUAGGGGUCCUCAUCGGAUUACCGAAUUCAGUCAAACUCCGAAUGCCAAUGACUUAUCCUUAGGAGUCAGACUGCGAGUGAUAAGAUCCGUAGUCAAAAGGGAAACAGCCCAGACCGCCAGCUAAGGUCCCAAAGUGUGUAUUAAGUGGAAAAGGAUGUGGAGUUGCUUAGACAACUAGGAUGUUGGCUUAGAAGCAGCCACCAUUUAAAGAGUGCGUAAUAGCUCACUAGUCGAGUGACUCUGCGCCGAAAAUGUACCGGGGCUAAAUACACCACCGAAGCUGCGGAUUGAUACCAAUGGUAUCAGUGGUAGGGGAGCGUUCUAAGGACAGUGAAGUCAGACCGGAAGGACUGGUGGAGUGCUUAGAAGUGAGAAUGCCGGUAUGAGUAGCGAAAGACGGGUGAGAAUCCCGUCCACCGAAUGCCUAAGGUUUCCUGAGGAAGGCUCGUCCGCUCAGGGUUAGUCAGGACCUAAGCCGAGGCCGACAGGCGUAGGCGAUGGACAACAGGUUGAUAUUCCUGUACCACCUCUUUAUCGUUUGAGCAAUGGAGGGACGCAGAAGGAUAGAAGAAGCGUGCGAUUGGUUGUGCACGUCCAAGCAGUUAGGCUGAUAAGUAGGCAAAUCCGCUUAUCGUGAAGGCUGAGCUGUGAUGGGGAAGCUCCUUAUGGAGCGAAGUCUUUGAUUCCCCGCUGCCAAGAAAAGCUUCUAGCGAGAUAAAAGGUGCCUGUACCGCAAACCGACACAGGUAGGCGAGGAGAGAAUCCUAAGGUGUGCGAGAGAACUCUGGUUAAGGAACUCGGCAAAAUGACCCCGUAACUUCGGGAGAAGGGGUGCUUUCUUAACGGAAAGCCGCAGUGAAUAGGCCCAAGCGACUGUUUAGCAAAAACACAGCUCUCUGCGAAGCCGUAAGGCGAAGUAUAGGGGGUGACACCUGCCCGGUGCUGGAAGGUUAAGGAGAGGGGUUAGCGUAAGCGAAGCUCUGAACUGAAGCCCCAGUAAACGGCGGCCGUAACUAUAACGGUCCUAAGGUAGCGAAAUUCCUUGUCGGGUAAGUUCCGACCCGCACGAAAGGUGUAACGAUUUGGGCACUGUCUCAACCAGAGACUCGGUGAAAUUAUAGUACCUGUGAAGAUGCAGGUUACCCGCGACAGGACGGAAAGACCCCGUGGAGCUUUACUGUAGCCUGAUAUUGAAUUUUGGUACAGUUUGUACAGGAUAGGCGGGAGCCUUUGAAACCGGAGCGCUAGCUUCGGUGGAGGCGCUGGUGGGAUACCGCCCUGACUGUAUUGAAAUUCUAACCUACGGGUCUUAUCGACCCGGGAGACAGUGUCAGGUGGGCAGUUUGACUGGGGCGGUCGCCUCCUAAAGUGUAACGGAGGCGCCCAAAGGUUCCCUCAGAAUGGUUGGAAAUCAUUCGUAGAGUGCAAAGGCAUAAGGGAGCUUGACUGCGAGACCUACAAGUCGAGCAGGGACGAAAGUCGGGCUUAGUGAUCCGGUGGUUCCGCAUGGAAGGGCCAUCGCUCAACGGAUAAAAGCUACCCCGGGGAUAACAGGCUUAUCUCCCCCAAGAGUCCACAUCGACGGGGAGGUUUGGCACCUCGAUGUCGGCUCAUCGCAUCCUGGGGCUGUAGUCGGUCCCAAGGGUUGGGCUGUUCGCCCAUUAAAGCGGUACGCGAGCUGGGUUCAGAACGUCGUGAGACAGUUCGGUCCCUAUCCGUCGUGGGCGUAGGAAAUUUGAGAGGAGCUGUCCUUAGUACGAGAGGACCGGGAUGGACGCACCGCUGGUGUACCAGUUGUUCUGCCAAGGGCAUAGCUGGGUAGCUAUGUGCGGAAGGGAUAAGUGCUGAAAGCAUCUAAGCAUGAAGCCCCCCUCAAGAUGAGAUUUCCCAUAGCGUAAGCUAGUAAGAUCCCUGAAAGAUGAUCAGGUUGAUAGGUUCGAGGUGGAAGCAUGGUGACAUGUGGAGCUGACGAAUACUAAUAGAUCGAGGACUUAACCAUAUA
rnacentral:rRNA from 1 species